rnacentral:rRNA from 1 species
CCUACGGGAGGCAGCAGUGGGGAAUAUUGGGCAAUGGACGCAAGUCUGACCCAGCAACGCCGCGUGAAGGAAGAAGGCUUUCGGGUUGUAAACUUCUUUUCAGGGGGAAGAGCAGAAGACGGUACCCCUUGAAUAAGCCACGGCUAACUACGUGCCAGCAGCCGCGGUAAUACGUAGGUGGCAAGCGUUGUCCGGAUUUACUGGGUGUAAAGGGCGUGCAGCCGGAGAGACAAGUCAGAUGUGAAAUCAACGGGCUCAACCCGUGAACUGCAUUUGAACAUGUUUCCCUUGAGUGUCGGAGAGGUAAUCGGAAUUCCUUGUGUAGCGGUGAAAUGCGGAGAUAUAAGGAAGAACACCAGUGGCGAAGGCGGAUUACUGGACGAUAACUGACGCUGAGGCUCGAAAGCGUGGGGAGCGAACAGGAUUAGAUACCCUGGUAGUC